GAUUGUCGUCGCUGCACUCCUCCUCCCAGCAGCUCCGGGGAACGACUGGCAACCCUCCUCCUCCCAGUUGUCGGUCAGAAUCGAAGCCCGGGGCAUCUCCUCCCGCGCCGGGCUUUUUCA
rnacentral:sRNA from 1 species